rnacentral:rRNA from 1 species
AAUGAACGCUGGCGGCGUGCUUAACACAUGCAAGUCGAGCGAGAAAGUCCCUUCGGGGGCGAGUACAGCGGCGGACGGGUGAGUAACACGUGGGCAACCUGCCUGCAAGACUGGGAUAACUUCGGGAAACCGAAGCUAAUACCGGAUAGGAUCCUCUCCUUCAUGGGAGAUGAUUGAAAGAUGGUUUCGGCUAUCACUUACAGAUGGGCCCGCGGUGCAUUAGCUAGUUGGUGAGGUAACGGCUCACCAAGGCAACGAUGCAUAGCCGACCUGUGAGGGUGAACGGCCACACUGGGCCGGAGACACGGCCCAGACCCCUACGGGAGGCAGCAGUAGGGCAUCUUCCGCAAUGGACGAAAGUCUGACGGAGCAACGCCGCGUGAGUGAUGAAGGCUUUCGGGUCGUAAAACUCUGUUGUUAGGGAAGAACAAGUACGAGAGUAACUGCUCGUACCUUGACGGUACCUAACCAGAAAGCCACGGCUAACUACGUGCCAGCAGCCGCGGUAAUAC